UUCACGUUGCUGAAAUGAAAAGCAGAUGGAAGAAGUUGACAAUUAGGAAUCAUUUUGCAUCAGUAGGUAAGUAAACGUUUAAAUAGAUGAACUAAUGAAUUGUGUUGUACCUUGUUUACACAUAAAAAACGUUAGUUUUUGGUGUGAUAUUUAAGACUAAUAAACUGAGGCAGCUGUUUCCACCCAAGGCCUUUGCUAAUGUUAGCUCGUGUUUUUGCUAAGUUAUAUUUUCUAUGAAGUGUUGCUGUGAGCUGAAUCGGCACUGCCUGUGCAACAUUUGGCAAAGUAAGUGAACGCUACGUUAUGUCUUCAUUUUGAAUGAGCUAAUGGCUAACUAGCUAAUUGGCAGGAGGAGCCCCCACACGUAGGCCUGCUGGCCCCCAGCAAAGGACUUGAUAUGCUGUACAAGAUACAAGAUAUCAAGAAUGAUGCAUCUUUAUUUUUCUUCUUGGUUCACAGAAAACCUUUGCUUGAGUCUUACAUGAAUGUGAGGUGGAUGGAGAUGUCUUUGAUGAGCUUGUCAAGUCAGGUGUUUUGACUUUCAAGGUCCUUUUAUCAGUGACAGGUAAGGAUGUGAAAACGUUUGAAAAUGCAUGAGGUGGUUUAGAUAUCACAGGCAGUGUGGACCCAUCAGGUACCUUGGCUUUGUCCAAAUGAGAUAUUGUUGUCGUGAUCUUUGAGGCCUCAAAAUGUAUUUUUGGUCUCACUUUAAGGUACACAAAAAUACAGUAGUUACUGAGGAACUAAUUACUAAAGCACAAAUUUACAGUAGUAGAGGAUCUAAUGAACUAAAAAGGAACCAAUGAGCAGAGGAGUUACUGAGGAACUAAAACACAUACAUUUAGAGUAGUUACUAAGAAACUAAUGAAGAACUAAUGAGUAGUGGUUAGGGUUAGAUAGGUUUGUUCCUCAUCCUGCACGACUGUCAUUUUGUGUACCUUAUUGUAAAGUGAGACAGUAUUUUCAUUUGAUAUUCAAUUUUUAGCCCCUUUUCCAUAGGUUGAAAUUCCCCAAAAUUAUUUUUUUUGUUUUAGUUGAAAUUAGUGUUUUGUACUGUUUUGUAGAGUAAGAGAUUCAUUUGACUGGAGAUGAAGCAGACUCCACUAUCCCCAGCUUCACCCCAGUUAUCGCCAGUUGGUGGCGAGUCUCCACUCUUGCCUGCUACAUCCAUUCAUCAGGUUUGACAAUUUAUCCUUCAGCCCACAAGGAGGAGGAACCCAACAGAACCAAUGGAUCAGGAUGAAGCCAGACAGAAAGUUGGUGGUGGUUUGAGGGCCAAUCCAAAAGAUAUGAUGGAGCUGCGUGGGUCACUUCCCCCUUUCCAUUAGAACAGUCAUUCCUGACUCAUCAACGGCAGAGGGUUCCGCCAUCAUGUGUGAUGACAAAUUACGCCCUGAGAAUUGUGACUUGUUUUCCUCAAAGAUCCAUUCUCCAAACCUGGAUAUGAUGCUUAGCUUAGCGGCAGUGGCUCAGGAGGUAGAGCAGGUCGUCCACAAAUCGUAAGGUUGGUUGAUCCUUGCUCUCCACCCAGUCACUGUUGUGUCCUACACUUCUCCUGGCUCUCAAAGUUGUUCCAAGACUGUCUUCAGGAUGGUCCAAAAACCAGAGGAGAACAUCUGUUAACUGGUCAACAGCUGUUUGCUGAGGAGUGCAGGGAGGCACUAUCUACAAUAAGACAUUCAACCGAGAAUCCGUGGUCAAAGAAGAUGAGAGCAACUUUCCAGUAUCAGCAGAAGAUGUAUCAUCGUCUGUCCUUAAUGUGUUCCCUCGCUUCCUUGAUGUUCCUGGAUUGAUUGACCAGGAUUUCUCAAUGAUGUUUGCUGAUGAAUUAUCUCAGAGGUUCCUGGCUAAGUGGUCAACUGUCUUCAAAGCAAAAGUCAUUGCAGACUGCAAGACUCUCCCGCAAAAGCAGAACAUUGAUGAGUUGCUGUCAGGAACUGAACCUCAACCCGAUGUGGCUGGGGCAGUGAUAAAUCCUCCAUCCUUCUACUCCUGCAUCUGCUCCCUCCGACUUCUAGAGGCCAGGAAAAAAACAGCAAAGAUCAGUUUGUCAAGCAACCAACCAUCUUCUCAGACAUCUUAAGGAAGGAGCCAGUGUGACCCCCUUCCAAGACUGUUGACACAACCAUUUCUCCUCUGCAUCAGUGAGCGAAGGUGACAUCCAGAGGUUCUACAUUAUUGACCAAAAGCUGGUUCCAUGCAAGGCACAUACAUUUAUUGCAGCUUUUGAUGAACUGUUCAAAGCUCGCUAUGUCUUCAGUCUCUCGUAUGGUUAAAAAUGGAUAAGGGCAAAGAUUUGGGUCUGAAUGCUGCCCAGUCAUGGUGUCUUCUAUGUAACACUCCACUUAUAUUUGGUGAUGUCAUUGAAAGGAAGAAUGAUCACUGGAACUUCCUCCUCCUUUUGAUGCAGAUUGUCAACAUACCUGCAGUGUUCUCCUACACCAUAACUGAUGGAAUGAUCUUUUACUUGAAACAUCUGAUAAGUGACCACCACACUCGGUACAAAGCAUUGCUGCUGGUAAGAAGUUGAUUCCCAAGCAUACAAAACAUUGGCCCUCUUAUCCAUACGUGGUGCAUGUGUUUUUGAAGCCAAACACAAUUCUUUCAAAAGGUGUGGUUAAAAUUUUUAAAAAUCUCAGUCGUUUGUCGUGGCCUUUCACUCUGAAUAUUAUUAUUUUAGACGAUUUGCAUUUGGCCCUACAACAUCAAAAACAAUCUGCAACUUGAAAGGUGGGGAGGAACGUGGUCAGGCAUGAUGUCUGCAAGCAUCUUCAAGUGUGUCAAGUACCAACGGGGUGAGAAGUUACGGUAUAGAGCACCAGGUUGGUGUGUUCAUAUGUACUGGAUGUAGCUUUGAUCUACCUGUGUUCAAGAAGAUCUGUGAUAUAAUAAAACACAAAGAAUGUGCUUUCAUAAUGGCCUGUAAUGUAGAAACGAUGUACUAUGAUGACCUGUUUAAUCAUGGAGGCUUUCACACCAGCAAUAUUUUCAGCAUGAGACUGGGGGAAGGCCUGCACUCCCAUCAGCACUGACCCAAGCCUGGUGGUCUCAUCCACAAAAUGGCAUGUUACAGCCAGGUAGGCAUCCAUAUUGAUGGAUGUCCACUUAUCAGAUGAAGGCUAACAGCAGCCACCUUCUCCACUCGAGCCUUAGCCUUCUCCUUUGCUGACUCAUACUUACUUGGCCUCCACCAAAGAGCCUAAAGGAAAAAUACAUAGUGCUGAAUUGUGUAACAUCCAAUAAAGUACUCCUUCGUUUCAUGCAUGCAGCCUUACAUACCUGCCUUGUCGGGAGAACAUCAUUGGGAUCCAAUUUGGACACAAAUGUCCUGAAUGCAACAUCAUCCACAAUAGUGAAGGGCUGUGUGUCCUUCACUAUCAUGGAGACAAGGGCUUCACCCAGCUCUUGUUUUCUGGUGGCUGGUUAAAAGAGA